rnacentral:rRNA from 1 species
UGGGCAACCUGCCCCAGACUCAGGGAUAACCCCGGGAAACCGGGGCUAAUACCCGAUACUCCGAUCGAACCACAUGUCUUGAUCGGGAAAGCUCCGACGGUCUGGGAUGGGCCCGCGGCCUAUCAGCUUGUUGGUGGGGUAACGGCCUACCAAGGCGACGACGGGUAGCUGGUCUGAGAGGACGAUCAGCCACACUGGGACUGAGACACGGCCCAGACUCCUACGGGAG